rnacentral:lncRNA from 1 species
GAACAUGUUGAAGACGUUGAAGAUGCUACCUUUUGUCAUAAUGUUUUUAGUUAUGACUUUUCUAAUGUUGAUGUGUAUUUUGAUCAAUACGUGGUGAUUAUGGUUUAUGUUGAUGAUGUGUAGCUUUCAUUGACGAGAUCAAGAACAUCUUGAGCGUCAAAUAACACAUGCACCCGAAUCACCCAUCGAUUCCAAUUCUUUUAAUCAAAGACUAUAAGCUUUAUGUUCAAGCUACCUUUC